GACGAACGCUGGCGGCGUGCUUAACACAUGCAAGUCGAACGGAAAGGCCCUGCUUUUGUGGGGUGCUCGAGUGGCGAACGGGUGAGUAACACGUGAGUAACCUGCCCUUGACUUUGGGAUAACUUCAGGAAACUGGGGCUAAUACCGGAUAGGAGCUCCUGCUGCAUGGUGGGGGUUGGAAAGUUUCGGCGGUUGGGGAUGGACUCGCGGCUUAUCAGCUUGUUGGUGGGGUAGUGGCUUACCAAGGCUUUGACGGGUAGCCGGCCUGAGAGGGUGACCGGCCACAUUGGGACUGAGAUACGGCCCAGACUCCUACGGGAGGCAGCAGUGGGGAAUAUUGCACAAUGGGCGGAAGCCUGAUGCAGCAACGCCGCGUGCGGGAUGGCGGCCUUCGGGUUGUAAACCGCUUUCGCCUGUGACGAAGCGUGAGUGACGGUAAUGGGUAAAGAAGCACCGGCUAACUACGUGCCAGCAGCCGCGGUGAUACGUAGGGUGCGAGCGUUGUCCGGAUUUAUUGGGCGUAAAGGGCUCGUAGGUGGUUGAUCGCGUCGGAAGUGUAAUCUUGGGGCUUAACCCUGAGCGUGCUUUCGAUACGGGCUGACUUGAGGAAGGUAGGGGAGAAUGGAAUUCCUGGUGGAGCGGUGGAAUGCGCAGAUAUCAGGAGGAACACCAGUGGCGAAGGCGGUUCUCUGGGCCUUUCCUGACGCUGAGGAGCGAAAGCGUGGGGAGCGAACAGGCUUAGAUACCCUGGUAGUCCACGCUGUAAACGGUGGGUACUAGGUGUGGGGUCCAUUCCACGGGUUCCGUGCCGUAGCUAACGCUUUAAGUACCCCGCCUGGGGAGUACGGCCGCAAGGCUAAAACUCAAAGGAAUUGACGGGGCCCCGCACAAGCGGCGGAGCAUGCGGAUUAAUUCGAUGCAACGCGUAGAACCUUACCUGGGUUUGACAUGGAUCGGGAGUGCUCAGAGAUGGGUGUGCCUCUUUUGGGGUCGGUUCACAGGUGGUGCAUGCCUGUCGUCAGCUCGUGUCGUGAGAUGUUGGGUUAAGUCCCGCAACGAGCGCAACCCUUGUUCACUGUUGCCAGCACGUUAUGGUGGGGACUCAGUGGAGACCGCCGGGGUCAACUCGGAGGAAGGUGGGGAUGACGUCAAGUCCUCAUGCCCCUUAUGUCCAGGGCUUCACGCAUGCUACAAUGGCUGGUACAGAGAGUGGCGAGCCUGUGAGGGUGAGCGAAUCUCGGAAAGCCGGUCUCAGUUCGGAUUGGGGUCUGCAACUCGACCUCAUGAAGUCGGAGUCGCUAGUAAUCGCAGAUCAGCAACGCUGCGGUGAAUACGUUCCCGGG
rnacentral:rRNA from 1 species